AGAGUUUGAUCCUGGCUCAGGAUGAACGCUAGCGGCAGGCCUAACACAUGCAAGUCGAGGGGCAGCACGAAUUAGUUUACUAAUUUGGUGGCGACCGGCGCACGGGUGCGUAACGCGUAUGCAACCUACCCUGUACUGAGGGAUAGCCCGAAGAAAUUCGGAUUAAUACCUCAUAGUAUUAUGAAAUUGCAUGGUUUUAUAAUUAAAGGUUACGGUACAGGAUGGCAUGCGUCCUAUUAGCUAGAUGGUGAGGUAACGGCUCACCAUGGCAACGAUAGGUAGGGGGCCUGAGAGGGUAGUCCCCCACACUGGUACUGAGACACGGACCAGACUCCUACGGGAGGCAGCAGUGAGGAAUAUUGGUCAAUGGACGCAAGUCUGAACCAGCCAUGCCGCGUGCAGGAAGAAUGCCCUAUGGGUUGUAAACUGCUUUUAUUUAGGAAUAAACCUUUCUACGUGUAGAAAGCUGAAGGUACUAAAUGAAUAAGCACCGGCUAACUCCGUGCCAGCAGCCGCGGUAAUACGGAGGGUGCAAGCGUUAUCCGGAAUCAUUGGGUUUAAAGGGUCCGCAGGCGGAUUUAUAAGUCAGUGGUGAAAGCCUACAGCUUAACUGUAGAACUGCCAUUGAUACUGUAAGUCUUGAAUUCGGUCGAAGUGGGCGGAAUGUGUAAUGUAGCGGUGAAAUGCAUAGAUAUUACACAGAACACCGAUAGCGAAGGCAGCUCACUAGGCCUGGAUUGACGCUCAGGGACGAAAGCGUGGGGAUCAAACAGGAUUAGAUACCCUGGUAGUCCACGCUGUAAACGAUGAUUACUCGUUUUCGGCGAUACACAGUCGGAGACUAAGCGAAAGUGAUAGUAAUCCACCUGGGGAGUACGAUCGCAAGGUUGAAACUCAAAGGAAUUGACGG
rnacentral:rRNA from 1 species